UUCUUUCUCAUCUCACAAUUUGAUAGCAUCAAUAGCUAGCCUCAAAUGUUAUUCAUUCCAUUAGUCCCAUUUUUCUGACAGCACUUAAAGCUAGAACGACUCAAAUACCUCUGGAGCCUGAAAAUUAGAAUCGAUCUGCCUGCUUUUGGCUUGGAACCCAUAACUCCCAUCCUGUUGUAAACUCAUAUCACAAACUUCAGACUUAGAAUAUCUAGGAUUUCGCAAACUAUUACUCCCAUUACUUCUAUUCCUACCAUCAAUCUUACUCCUAUUAGUCUUAGUAUCACCACUUCCUCUUUGCUUUCUACCUAAACCAACUUGCCCUGAAUCUAAUGAACCUAAACCACUCCUAAAUCUACUUCUGUUGCCCUGCUUCCUAAAUUCACCACCAUUUCUACUUUUAGUAUUCUUAUCCAUGCCCCAUUUUCCAGUAGAAUUCUUGUUAUAUCCACUCUCUAAAUCUGAAUUAUCUUCCCUUGCCAACGAAUCCACACAGUCCUUCUUCCUUCCAGUGUGCAGACCACCCCUCCUAAAUUUCUCAUUGACUGACAAAGCAUUACUUUUGUACCCAUUCCUUGCCAUAGCCAUACCAUAUCUAUCUUUAUUUCCAUUUUCAUUUUCCCUUUCGCUUUCACUUUCCAUAGCAGAAUCCUCUUCUCCACUAUCAAAAUCACCAUUCCCAGCAAUCUUACCAUAAGGCCUGACACUAUGAAC
rnacentral:misc_RNA from 1 species